ACGGGUGAGUAAUGUCUGGGGAUCUGCCCGAUAGAGGGGGAUAACCACUGGAAACGGUGGCUAAUACCGCAUAACGUCGCAAGACCAAAGAGGGGGACCUUAGGGCCUCUCACUAUCGGAUGAACCCAGAUGGGAUUAGCUAGUAGGCGGGGUAACGGCCCACCUAGGCGACGAUCCCUAGCUGGUCUGAGAGGAUGACCAGCCACACUGGAACUGAGACACGGUCCAGACUCCUACGGGAGGCAGCAGUGGGGAAUAUUGCACAAUGGGCGCAAGCCUGAUGCAGCCAUGCCGCGUGUAUGAAGAAGGCCUUCGGGUUGUAAAGUACUUUCAGCGGGGAGGAAGGCGAUGUGGUUAAUAACCGCAUUGAUUGACGUUACCCGCAGAAGAAGCACCGGCUAACUCCGUGCCAGCAGCCGCGGUAAUACGGAGGGUGCGAGCGUUAAUCGGAAUUACUGGGCGUAAAGCGCACGCAGGCGGUCUGUUAAGUCAGAUGUGAAAUCCCCGGGCUUAACCUGGGAACUGCAUUUGAAACUGGCAGGCUUGAGUCUCGUAGAGGGGGGUAGAAUUCCAGGU
rnacentral:rRNA from 1 species